ACUCAAAUGAAUAGACGGGGGCUCACACAAGCGGUGGAGCAUGUUGUUCAAUUCGAUGCAACGCGAAGAACCUUACCCAGGCCUGAAUGCGGGGAUUAAGCCGUGAAAGCGGUGGAUUGCCUUCGGGUGUAACCUGCACUGGUGUUGCAUGGCUGUCGUCAGCUCGUGUCGUGAGAUGUUGGGUUAAGUCCCGUAACGAGCGAAACCCCUAUUGCUAGUUACCAACGGGUAACGCCGGGGACUCUAGCGAGACUGCCGUUGUCAAGACGGAGGAAGGUGGGGACGACGUCAAGUCAUCAUGGCCUUUAUGCCUGGGGCCACAAACGUGCUACAAUGGCUGGGACAAAGGGUCGCCAAACCGCAAGGUGGAGCAAAUCCCAAAAACCCAGCCCCAGUUCGGAUUGCAGGCUGCAACUCGCCUGCAUGAAGUUGGAAUCGCUAGUAAUCGCGGAUCAGCUACGCCGCGGUGAAUAUGUUCCUGAGCCUUGUACACACCGCCCGU
rnacentral:rRNA from 1 species